AUCUUAACGUCAAUUCGUCACGAAGACAAUCACGAAAUCACGAAUUUGUGCAAGUGGUGAGCAAAGUAAAUGAUGAGAAAGCAAGCAAAGUGAAAUUGUUGUUUUUGUCAGUGUUUUGUUAAAUAUACGUUUGUGUUUUAUUUACGUCUAUAUACUUUGCGUAAACAUUGUUGUGUAGGAAACCUACGUGAUUAUGUGUACAAUAUGCGCAGAGUGUUGAUUACGAAUGACAUCUGUUAACAAAAGGAAAACAGUAAAAUAGAGACGUUCAUAAUCUUAAUUCAGUAUGAGUUCGACGGAGACCAUCAACCUCACGGCUCAGCCGAUGAUUAAGGAGGUGGUCCACGAAAAGGAUUCCAUGUUCCUCCAGACCCCUGGUGCUCAGGGAAUCGCCGGAAUCUUCGUGUUUGCGGCGCUAUUCAUUACUUGCCAACAGAUUUACCAGCACCUGCGCUGGUACACGAAUCCCUCCGAGCAGCGUUGGAUAGUCCGUAUUCUCUUCAUUGUACCUAUAUACGGCUGUUACAGCUGGAUCUCACUGCUGUUCUUCAACGGAAACUCCUACUAUGUAUACUUCUUCACUGUCAGAGAUUGCUAUGAAGCAUUCGUGAUCUACAGUUUCCUGUCGCUCUGCUACGAGUAUCUGGGCGGGGAGGGUAACAUAAUGUCGGAGCUCCGCGGGCGUCCCGUGCGGGCGUCGUGCGUGAAUGGCACGUGCUGCCUCAGUGGCGCCACCUAUACCAUCGGUUUCUUGCGCUUCUGCAAGCAGGCUACACUGCAGUUCUGUCUCAUUAAGCCCGUUUGCGCCUUCAUUAUUAUAUUCUUACAGGCUCGUGGGCUAUACCACGACGGCGACUGGAGCCCCGACGGCGGCUACAUCUACAUCACCAUCGUGUACAACUUCUCCGUGAGCCUGGCGCUCUACAGCCUGUUCCUCUUCCUCGGAGCCACCAGGGAGAUGCUCAAGCCCUUCGAUCCAGUACUCAAGUUCUUCACCGUCAAGUCUGUCAUCUUCCUUUCGUUUUGGCAAGGUGUAGCCCUAGCCAUUCUGGAGAAGGCCGAGGUGAUAUCUCCUAUCCACGACGCGAACGGCGUGCCGACCACAGCGGGUACAGUGUCUGCGGGCUACCAGAACUUCCUGAUCUGCCUGGAGAUGUUAGCGGCGGCCGUGGCGCUGCGGUACGCGUUCCCGGCCGCCGUGUACGCGCACGCGCACCGCGACCCGCACCGCUCCGUCACCAUGCAGUCCAUCUCCAGUAGCCUCAAGGAGACAAUGAACCCCAAGGACAUAAUGACGGACGCGUUCCACAACUUCCACCCGCAGUACCAGCAGUACACACAAUACAGCUCUGUGAUGCGCGGAGGCGCGGGCGCGGGCAAGCGGGACGAGGGCGCAGCCCUGGCGCCCCGGCCGCCGCCGCAGCGCGUCGCCACCAUCUGCCACGCCACCAACUACCACGAGAAGACCACACUCCUCAGCUCCGACGACGAGUUCCAGUGAGCCCCCGAUACCCCACGAACACGUUGUUACCCGACCACUGUCCCACUUCUUGAUGGCUUAAGAAACUUGGACUGAAAUAAUCUGGAACUUCUGUUGGCAUAAAUCUCCUUGGAAUUUAAUUUGAAUAAUUGCUACUGGCAACUGUUCAAAUUAAAUGGUCUCUAGGCUCAAAAUUGUCUAUGGUCUGAUAUGAAUACGUUCGAGAGUCCUGUCGAGUAACAACAAAUUCUACCGGUAAAAGAAUUUAGGAACGAAAACUGAAGGAUGUUCAUUUUAAUAGAUAAAGGAUAAUAUAUUUUUAUGCAUCUCUUGGAGUCCUUUACCACUUUUAAAGCGUAAUACUUAAAAGCCUGGCCCGUAGCAUGUACCUUUGUUGUCGAUGUUCAGAAAGAUAUAAAAUUCAUAGGAAAUAGUAAUAAAAAAAUCUGUGUUACUCGGUGUACUAAAUCAAAAAAAAAAUAUAUACUUACCUUUUAUUGUUAGUGAAGUAUUACCUAAUUUAAAAGCAUUUUUUUAUUAUUUACUUUAGGUAUGAUUUAGUGCAGUUAUUUAAACAAUACAAGCAAUCAUUAGAAAUAAGCAUAACAGCCUGUAUUUAAAACGAAUGAAAGGAGAACAGAAGCACAUACCUAGUAAAAAGAGUAAUAAAUACUUAAAGUAAUAGGUAUUAAAACAAAAUAUUGCCUUUUGACCUGUCUGUAGAGGUUUUACUGCGAUUCUUCAUACCACGGCGACAACGGCUCGAUAUAGGAACAUAAGAUUGUAUAGUUAUGUAAAAUAAGAAGUAAAUCAAAUAACAAUUGAUACAUUACAAAUUGUACAGGUAAAAAGGAAUUAUUAUUCUAUAGAUAGCUAUUAUUAUAUCGCUGUAAGGGCCGUAGUAAAUGGCAACCCUAUUCAUUACUUACCUAAAUCUAAAUAAAUUAUGCAUUUCUUUGACGGCAGUGUUUAAAUCAAGCUGAUUCAUGGAGCCACCUUUUAAUAUAAAAACUGAAAUUCCAUUCACAAGUUCUUUGUAUGUGCCUUUUGGAUAAACUCUGCUUUUAAACAAAAUAGACGUUAUAAAAAUGCUUGUAGAAUCUAUUUUUCUUAAGACUUGUGGGUCGACACUCAUUUUUUAUAAAUGUUGUGCACAAAAUAAAAACAUUCCUUCUUGCCAAAUAUCUACCAAAGAGUCACUGCCAAAGAAUAACUUAUUUUUGCAACCUGCAGUGUUAGAGUAGUUCAAAUUAAAGUCAAUAAAAAAGUAAUAAAUUAUUGUCGAUGCUCACCACUGCUUCGCCGUCCAAAAUUGCUUAGGCUCCAUUUGCCCUUACAAAAUCGAUAAAUAUUUUCAUUAGCAGAAUUUGCUUUAGAGGUGCGUUUACACUAAAUUAAUAAAUUAUAUUUUUCUGUAAUGUGAGAUAAAGUUUAUCCAGUACCAAAUGUUUCAGAUACCUACGUCAAGUACUAGUCUUCAUUUUUAUUCAAUACAUUACAAAAAAUACAUUACUUUUAAUCCUGUAAAAGAGUAAAGAAAGCAUCAUUUGUUGCUUGGUAUAAACGCACCUUAAUGCAAAAAUUAGGUAAGUCUAUAGAAACGCCUGGAUUAUUUGGUAGUUAACUCUUAUUUACCUUAUAGCAACUUAAAUUAUUAUUACUUUAUGUGUUAAAUGUAUUUCAAUGUAGGAACUUGUUGUUUUGUUGUAACAAUUAACUUUUGUGUAAUGUAUAUUUAAUAUUUUACAUUAGAUUAGUAACUAUAAUUACUGUAUGUAUUUAUUUUUAAUAUCAUAAGUGUAUUAUCCUACUUUCACCUUACUGUAAAUAUCACCUUGAUUACGUAAAUACCUUAAUUACAUUUAUUUUGCUUAGGAAUGGUUGUAUGAGAAUAAUACCUACGUUUAUGUUUAAAUUCUUUAGUCAAUUAUCUUCCCUUCUAUAGGUACGCAAUUGCUCUUAGAUCGUAUAAAGAAAUACUUAUUUGUUACCAAAUUAUUUUUAAUUAUAUUAUGUAAACAAAAAAUCCCUAAUGCAUUUAUGAAUACUAGCUCGCCAAACAACGCUAUUUAAUCACGCAGUCGAGAGUUAGUUACCUUUUAUUGAUCUCAUGGUUUUGCUUCGAAAUUUUUCAUUGCAUUUGAAUCUUUGUAUGAUCUAAGAGCAUCUUUUUAACUUAAUGUAUGUGAACAUAGGCCAAUUUUGUAUUAUAAGAGGCUUUCUUUUCUGGAUCGAAAGAUUUAUUUUUGUAACAGAAGUAGUUGAAUGACAGUAACACACGUUUCGCCUGAAUGAUUGUUGAAAAAUAAUAUAACAUGAAUAAACGUUAGAUAUUUUAUUAAUUAAAAAUGUUUUAGCUCCAAGUUUUUAAGUAUAUGUAUAAAUAAAUAAUGAUAUUGACAUAA
rnacentral:misc_RNA from 1 species